UCUCUCCCAACUGUCCUAUAUACGCUUGGCCGAGCAUGCAUGUAUUCUGAAAUGGUAGAGGGGGAGAAAGGUUGCCACCAGAAAAUGUCUGGCGGCAGCAAUCUCU